GGCAUGCUGUAACCGCACGGAUCAGGUAUAAGUGCACGAAGGCAGUACUGUAGUAAGGAUUUCUGCUCUUUUGGCCACCUGUAACGGCGAGUCUGAGACAUGAG
rfam:Paenibacillus larvae subsp. larvae DSM 25430, complete genome.